rnacentral:lncRNA from 1 species
CAUUCCGCUAAACGCUAUCAUAAGUGUCUUGUAUUACAAUAGCCUCGUUCUGCUCUCUGGCAUGCCACCCUCUCUUCACAACUCCUUAUGGAAUUGUCACGCCGUACAUGAUGAUGAUGUGAGCCAAUGAGUGACAAGGUGUAGGCAAGAGCACAAACAGAUCUGGGACCAGGCUAUAGAAGGAGACAACAGAUCUGGGACCAGGCUAUAGAAGGAGACUACAGAUCUGGGACCAGGCUAUAGAAGGAGACAACAGAUCUGGGACCAGGCUAUAGAAGGAGACAACAGAUCUGGGACCAGGCUAUAGAAGGAGACAACAGAUCUGGGACCAGGCUAUAGAAGGAGACUACAGAUCUGGGACCAGGUUAUUGAAGGAGACUACAGAUCUGGGACCAGGCUAUAGAAGGAGACAACAGAUCUGGGACCAGACUAUAGAAGGAGACUACAGAUCUGGGACCAGGCUAUAGAAGGAGACAACAGAUCUGGGACCAGGCUAUAGAAGGAGACAACAGAUCUGGGACCAGGCUAUAGAAGGAGACAACAGAUCUGGGACCAGGCUAUAGAAGGAGACAACAGAUCUGGGACCAGGCUAUAGAAGGAGACAACAGAUCUGGGACCAGGCUAUAGAAGGAAACUUUCAGAUCUGGGUCCAGGCUAUAGAAGGAGACUACAGAUCUGGGACCAGGCUAUAGAAGGAGACAACAGAUCUGGGACCAGGCUAUAGAAGGAGACAACAGAUCUGGGACCAGGCUAUAGAAGGAGACAACAGAUCUGGGACCAGGCUAUAGAAGGAGACAACAGAUCUGGGACCAGGCUAUAGAAGGAGACAACAGAUCUGGGACCAGACUAUAGAAGGACACAACAGAUCUGGGACCAGGCUAUAGAAGGAGUCAACAGAUCUGGGACCAGGCUAUAGAAGGAGUCAACAGAUCUGGGACCAGGCUAUAGAAGGAGACAACAGAUCUGGGACCAGGCUAUAGAAGGAGACUUUCAGAUCUGGGACCAGGCUAUAGAAGGAGACAACAGAUCUGGGACCAGACUAUAGAAGGAGACAACAGAUCUGGGACCAGGCUAUAGAAGGAGACAACAGAUCUGGGACCAGGCUAUUGAAGGAGACAACAGAUCUGGGACCAGACUAUAGAAGGAGACAACAGAUCUGGGACCAGGCUAUAGAAGGAGACUACAGAUCUGGGACCAGGCUAUAGAAGGAGACAACAGAUCUGGGACCAGGCUAUAGAAGGAGACAACAGAUCUGGGACCAGGCUAUAGAAGGAGACAACAGAUCUGGGACCAGGCUAGCAUUACAAGGCAUGUCAGUUUGCUGGUCCGAAUCAGUUGGGUUGCCAGGAAAGGGGGUCUGAGUUAAUAAUUUGCCCACGGCAUGCAGUGUCCUGCCCUGUCCGCCUCCCUGAAGCUUCUAGAUAUAUCUGAAUAGACCCUAAAACAGACACAGGAAGUCUAUCUGCAUCAGGCUGCAUGAUAAUGUCAGAACUGCCGCCCGGAAUGCAGUGACAAGCUCUCAGACCAACGCUUGAUUGGAUCCUUAUCAUAGCAAUGCUGUUCCUGAUUGGAUCGCUUAUCAUAACCAUGGUCGGCUCUGUGCUAAUGUUAUGAUAUUCAGGUUACGUCCCAAAUGGGCAACCUAUUCACUAUAUAGUGCACUACUUUUAACCAGAGCCCCUAUUCCCUAUAUAGAGCACUACUUUUAACCAGAGUCCCUAUUCCCUAUAUAUAGUGCACUACUUUUAACCAGAGCCCCUAUUCCCUAUAUAGAGCACUACUUUUAACCAGAGCCCCUAUUCCCUAUAUAGUGCACUACUUUUAAUCAGGGUCCUAUAGGCCCAGGUCAGAAGCAGUGUACUGCAUAAGGAACCUGGUGCCAUUUGCGACGCAGCCUGAUUAUGAGCCGUGGAUGCCUUGCCUGUAUGAGGUAGCUGCUAUCUGCAGUCUGGACUUUCCCAUGUAUAAUAAUCACAGAGUGGAACGUGUGUGUGGUAAAACUACAAAAUAGCAUUAUGACCACAGGAUAAUGUCAUGCAAAGAGAGAGAGAGAGAGAGAGAGAGAGAGAGAGA